rnacentral:rRNA from 1 species
UUAAGUGAAGAGUUUGAUCCUGGCUCAGAUUGAACGCUGGCGGCAUGCCUAACACAUGCAAGUCGAACGGCAGCACAGGUAGCAAUACCGGGUGGCGAGUGGCGGACGGGUGAGUAAAGCAUCGGGAUCUACCCUGACGUGGGGGAUAACCUCGGGAAACCGGGACUAAUACCGCAUACGUCCUACGGGAGAAAGCGGGGGACCUUCGGGCCUCGCGCGGCAGGACGAACCGAUGUGCGAUUAGCUAGUUGGCGGGGUAACGGCCCACCAAGGCGACGAUCGCUAGCUGGUCUGAGAGGAUGAUCAGCCACACUGGGACUG